rnacentral:rRNA from 1 species
GACGAACGCUGGCGGCGUGCUUAACACAUGCAAGUCGAGCGGAGAGGCGAACGGGUGAGUAACGCGUGAGUAAAUGCCCCCCUCUCUGGGAUAACAGUUGGAAACGGCUGCUAAUACCGGAUAGUGGGGGAUGACUCGCGUCCUAUCAGAUUGGUGGUGGGGUCGUGGCAGACCAAGGCGACGACGGGUAGCCGGCCUGAGAGGGCGCCCGGCCACAUUGGGCUGAGAUACUGCCCAAACUCCUACGGGAGGCAGCAGUGGGGAAUAUUGCACAAUGGGGUAAACCCUGAUGCAGCAACGCCGCGUGCGGGAUGACGGCCUUCGGGUUGUAAGCCGCUUUCAGCCAUGACGCGUUAGUGGCAGAAGAAGCACCGGCUAACUACGUGCCAGCAGCCGCGGUAAUUC